GUUUCUCAUCUAGUGGGACGAGUUUCUGGAAUUGUGUCGAUGAUUAUUCUGGAUUAUUCUGCCCAAUUAAGCUAUCUUCGUACGGUUGGUGAGGCUCUCCGUGUAGUUUCAGUGACAGUGUUGUGAGUGCUUUCAGCCUGGCGUCGGGCAAUUGGAUAACCUACUGCUGAAUCGUCUGCAUUGAGCUGCGUACUGCUGAUCUGAUCGUAUGUAAUUUUAUUUUAAUUGUAGCUCUCUGAAUAGAUUA
rnacentral:lncRNA from 1 species